rnacentral:rRNA from 1 species
UACGUAGGGGGCGAGCGUUGUCCGGAAUUACUGGGCGUAAAGAGAGCGUAGGCGGCACUACAAGUCUCAUGUGAAAUACCCGGGCUUAACUUGGGGGUUGCAUGGGAAACUGUAGAGCUUGAGUACAGGAGAGGCAAGCGGAACUCCUAGUGUAGCGGUGAAAUGCAUAGAUAUUAGGAGGAACACCAGUGGCGAAGGCGGCUUGCUGGACUGAAACUGACGCUGAGGCUCGAAAGCGUGGGGAGCAAACAGG